CCCUUAGACGUUCUGGGCCGCACGCGCGCUACACUGACGAAGGCAACGAGCUUUCCUUUACCGAAAGGUACGGGUAAUCUUUUGAAACUUCGUCGUGCUGGGGAUAGAUCCUUGCAAUUUUUGAUCUUAAACGAGGAAUGCCUAGUAAGCGCAAGUCAUCAACUUGCGUUGAUUACGUCCCUGCCCUUUGUACACACCGCCCGUCGCUACUACCGAUUGAAUGGUUUAGUGAGGCCUUCGGAUCCGCGACUCGUUUGUGGAGAAGUUGGACAAACCCAGUCAUUUAGAGGAAGUAAAAGUCGUAACA
rnacentral:rRNA from 1 species